rnacentral:lncRNA from 1 species
UGUAUUUUGAUAAUUUUUUGUGACCGGAAAAAAUUCGCCGGCGACCGACGGCAGUCCGCGGUGGCGGUGGCGGCGGCAGCCGGCACGGCUGCCAUGGCUGCCAGAGGCUUCACCCUGCCGGAGGAGGAGAAAGAAGAAACGAGAGGAAGGAGAAGAGAAGGAAAAAAGAAAGGAAAGAAAAGAAAGAAAGAAAAAUGGUUUGGGCUAAGGUUCUU